rnacentral:rRNA from 1 species
AUUGAACGCUGGCGGCAUGAUUUACACAUGCAAGUCGAACGGUAACAGGCCGCAAGGUGCUGACGAGUGGCGAACGGGUGAGUAAUGCAUCGGAACGUGCCCAGUCGUGGGGGAUAACUACUCGAAAGAGUAGCUAAUACCGCAUACGAUCUAUGGAUGAAAGCGGGGGACCGUAAGGCCUCGCGCGAUUGGAGCGGCCGAUGUCAGAUUAGGUAGUUGGUGGGGUAAAGGCUCACCAAGCCAACGAUCUGUAGCUGGUCUGAGAGGACGACCAGCCACACUGGGACUGAGACACGGCCCAGACUCCUACGGGAGGCAGCAGUGGGGAAUUUUGGAUAAUGGGCGCAAGCCUGAUCCAGCAAUGCCGCGUGCAGGAAGAAGGCCUUCGGGUUGUAAACUGCUUUUGUACGGAACGAAACGGCUCUGGUUAAUACCCGGGGCUAAUGACGGUACCGUAAGAAUAAGCACCGGCUAACUACGUG